GACGGAGGGUGCUAGCGUUGUUCGGAAUGACUGGGCGUAAAGAGCGUGUAGGCGGUCCGGUAAGUCCGCUGUGAAAGUCGGGGGCUCAACCCUCGAAUGCCGGUGGAUACUGUCGGGCUAGAGUAAGGAAGAGGCGAGUGGAAUUCCUGGUGUAGCGGUGAAAUGCGCAGAUAUCAGGAGGAACACCGGUGGCGAAGGCGGGUCUCUGGGAAGUAACUGACGCUGAGAAGCGAAAGCGUGGGUAGCGAACAGG
rnacentral:rRNA from 1 species